rnacentral:rRNA from 1 species
GACAGAGGGUGCAAACGUUGUUCGGAAUUACUGGGCGUAAAGCGCGCGCAGGCGGCUAUCCAAGUCAGUGGUGAAAGCCCGGAGCUCAACUCCGGAACUGCCAUUGAAACUGUUUAGCUUGAGGAUGAGAGAGGUGAGUGGAAUUCCCAGUGUAGAGGUGAAAUUCGUAGAUAUUGGGAAGAACACCGGUGGCGAAGGCGGCUCACUGGCACAUUACUGACGCUCAGGCGCGAUAGCGUGGGGAUCAAACAGG